UGGGGAAUAUUGGGCAAUGGGCGCAAGCCUGACCCAGCAACGCCGCGUGAAGGAAGAAGGCUUUCGGGUUGUAAACUUCUUUUCUGAGGGACGAAGAAAGUGACGGUACCUCAGGAAUAAGCCACGGCUAACUACGUGCCAGCAGCCGCGGUAAUACGUAGGUGGCAAGCGUUAUCCGGAUUUAUUGGGUGUAAAGGGCGUGUAGGCGGGAAUGCAAGUCAGAUGUGAAAACUAUGGGCUCAACCCAUAGCCUGCAUUUGAAACUGUAUUUCUUGAGUGCUGGAGAGGCAAUCGGAAUUCCGUGUGUAGCGGUGAAAUGCGUAGAUAUACGGAGGAACACCAGUGGCGAAGGCGGAUUGCUGGACAGUAACUGACGCUGAGGCGCGAAAAGCGUGGGGAGCAAAACAGGAUUAGAUACC
rnacentral:rRNA from 1 species